CGGGCUGCUGCAGUUCUCUUCCGAUGGCUGUUGCUUUGGACGGUUAGAUCUCGUGUUGCGUCGACGCGUAACACGUGCUCACAAUGGUGAACGGAAGAAUUCCGUCAGUCUUUUCAAAGACUUACGUAACUCCGAGAAGGCCUUACGAGAAGGCUCGUCUUGAUCAGGAGUUGAAAAUCAUCGGAGAAUAUGGACUCCGUAACAAACGAGAAGUUUGGCGUGUCAAAUACACUUUGGCCAAAAUUCGUAAAGCUGCUCGUGAGCUGCUUACGCUCGAAGAGAAAGAUCCCAAGCGACUUUUUGAAGGUAAUGCAUUGCUGCGUCGUUUGGUAAGAAUCGGUGUUUUGGAUGAAGGACGUAUGAAACUUGAUUACGUCCUUGGUUUGAAAAUUGAAGAUUUUCUUGAAAGACGUCUUCAGACCCAAGUGUUCAAACUGGGAUUAGCCAAGUCCAUCCAUCACGCCCGUGUAUUGAUUCGGCAAAGACAUAUUCGAUACAGAUCCGAAAACAGCUGAAAUCUGGUUAAUGCUUGAUGCACCUGGGAUUUUAGAUCAUGUUAUAUUUUUAGCAGGCCACUUGGUUGUUAAAGUAAUUUAACAAUCAACGUCUGAUGAUUAGACAGCACUGGAAUAAUAAUCUAAAUUCGAUUUGCUGCUCUAUUGUGUGCGCAAACAAGUCGUGAACAUCCCGUCGUUCAUUGUACGCCUGGACUCUCAAAAGCAUAUCGACUUCUCGUUGAAAUCACCAUUUGGUGGUGGCCGCCCUGGUCGUGUAAAGAGGAAGAACCUGCGCAAAGGAAGCAGUGGUGAUACCCAAGAGCCCGAAGAUGAUUAGACAGUGUAUAACUUGACACAUCUUAAAUAAACAAAAAAAUUCAAUUA